UACAGAGACUGCAAGCGUUAUUCGGAUUCACUGGGCGUAAAGGGUGCGCAGGCGGCCGUAUGUGUGAGGCGUGAAAGCCCGGGGCUUAACCCCGGAAUUGCACCUCAAACUAUACGGCUAGAGCAUUGGAGAGGGUAGCAGAAUUCAUGUUGUAGCAGUGAAAUGCGUAGAUAUCAUGAGGAAUACCAGAGGCGAAGGCGGCUACCUGGACAAUUGCUGACGCUCAGGCACGAAAGCGUGGGGAGCAAAAGGG
rnacentral:rRNA from 1 species